UUAUGACUGUGCGUGGAAAUGUAGCUUUAUUCUCAUAAUAUCAGAAUGUAGAAUAUCAGAAUGAGUUGGCCGGAUAAAGUGAAAAACUUAAAUUAUCAUAAUAUUAAGAUUAUUAAAUCAUAUUAUUAUUAAAUAUCAAGAUUAUUAAAUUAUAUUUUGCAAAAUGGUGUAUUGAAUAAACCAACCAAAACAAUCUAAACCUUUUUUUCAGGCUUUCUCUCUUAGUUAUUUAUAUUUUAAAAGUUAUCGGAUAUUAUAAAAUUCUAUAUUUUAUAUAAAAAAUUAAUUGCUUUUGUUAAUUUUUUUUAUGUACUUACUUUAUAUAUUAAAUAUUAGCUGGUCUCACGUUUUAAGAUAUUUGUCAAGUAGUGAAAGAAAUAGUAAAUAAAUAGGGAUGAAGGGAAUAAUUUAUUUAAAAAAAUUAAACACAAUAGAAUAUAUUACAUAGAAAAUUUAUGAUCAUUAUUUGCAUCUUUGAUAUAAGAAAAAUAAAAUAUGCUUCAUUUUAUAGAAAAUAAUAUUUUAGACUUUGCUUCCUUUUAUGGAUAACAGUAUCUUAGUAGUCAUAUGUAGCAAGUUCAAAAUUCGUUUUGUGAGAAUAAAAUUAGUAAAUUAUGUUAUUCAUGUCGAUAUGCAAGAAAUUGUAUAACAAAUUUAUUUAAUUAAAAAAAUUUUGGCAAGUAAAUUAAUGUACUAUAGAUGUCCUAAGUAGAAAUUCAAUAGUUUGAACAACUUCUUUAAAAUUAUAUUUUUUAUUAAACAAGUAUUAUGAAAAUUUUAUCUUUUUUGAAUAAACUAAUUUAUAAUUCAAAAAAAUUGCGUAUUACGAUUAAUGUCCAUCCGGCAAAUCGAGCAAAAUAAGAACGUCAUAUAGUUACAAACAUAUCUUCAUAAAGAUGCAAGAAACAAAAUAACCAAAUACGAGAGGAUUAUGUUUUCAACUCGAAUAAUAUGUUAGCUUUAGAUUACAAGUGAUAUUAAGAGUCAUUAUCGAUAUAAUAUCUAUAUUGCUUUCUUUUAACACUCUCCUCCUAUGAUAUUAUGUGUCUUUUUUUUUAUUAUUAGAUAGUCAAUUUGAUCAAAUUUUGACCGUUAAUUGAAGAAAAUUUAUUAAUUAUUUUAAAAAUCUGAAAAAUGGAUUUUAAAGGGAACUAGAUAUAUUUUCUAAUGAAAUAAGUUUCCUAAUAUUUUUAAGUUGGUAAUAUAUGUACUUUGUGGUCAAAAUUUAGUUAAUUUGACUAUUAAAUAGUCAAAAUAAGACACAUAAUAUACAUAAUAUGAGAUAGAGCGAG
rnacentral:lncRNA from 1 species